UGUCACCUCCUUCGAUGAUACCGUAGACGCUUUCAAGCUUCCAUCUCCUUCCACCUUUGAUCUGAAACGCUAUCUGUGACAACUUCGCUGUUGAGUCACUGUCGCCAUGCUCCUUAUCCUUAUCUUUGCAGUGAGCCAUGAACACGAAACCAGAAACGACAAUCUUCACUCAUCUCCCCCUCUUUUUUUUUUUUUUUUUCACCUAGAAUUUCUUGGGACUGUGAUGAUGUCUCACCGACGAAUCAUUCCACCUCCGGCGAGUACCGUUUCUUCACCCUGCGUCA
rnacentral:lncRNA from 1 species